rnacentral:miRNA from 1 species
UAGGUUGGUGCAAAAGUAAUUGCAGUUUUACAUUACCCUUAAUGGCAAAAACCACAGUUGCUUUUACACCAACCUAAUA